CCUUAAAAUGAUUCCAAAUUGAUUGAUUGUUGAACUUUCAGACUGCAAACUGCAAAGUGAUUCAAUCUUCAAUUCUACUUGUGUGUUUGAAUUGAAGAAAAAAUUAUGAUGGAGCAUAUUUUUUUUUCACAGCAUGGUGGAGCAUGAUGAGGGAUGGCCAUUGAUGGGAUUGGAACAUGUGUACUUAAUUAUAACACUUUCCUGGCAGGAUAUGCAGGGAAGGGUUAUUCACAGAAGUAGAUGAACUCAUGAACAUAUAUGAUAGAGCACAAUCGCAGGUCCAAUGAGCUCAUCUGCAGGAUUGUAGUUGAUGUUAAUUGCAAGCAUUGAAAUGUAAAAAGAAAAAAACAAUGGAGUUUGUGUUUAAGAUUAUUAAUAGCUCUUUAAUCUAGCUUCUCCCAGUUGUUACCUUAGAAGAAAUCAAAUCUAGUAAAGGCAAAAGUAGGUCCUUUUCUCACUUUACACACGUUCUGACUCCAACUUAAGCCCCCACUUUCUCACUUUUAAACAUCUUGUCACUUAGAGCUAAAUCCAACAAAAUAUCAAACUUAUUGGGAAAUAUAUAAUUUUUGUAUAUUAGUUUUAGUCUCUACAAAGGCCGCUCAGUUUUUAAUCUUCGUAUGCUAUAUGUUGAAGCACCUAUCUAGAGAUUAAGUUCCCUUUUAUGUGUUCUGAUAAUUAUAUAAUAUUGACAUGAUAUGAAAUAUAAAUGUAAUAAAGCAAAGUGGAGAAGCUCCGUGUUAUGCUCAAAUUCAAUCAUUAUAUUAUGGCCGUCAAAAUAAUAUUUAGGUCAGGCAUCCUAGUAUGGAACACUCAAGUUCACAACAGUUUAUCAGCAUCAGAUAUCAGAUUCAACAUUAACAGCUUAUCAGGAAAGUCCAAAACGCCAUAUAUUGCCUAAGGAAUGCUAUGAAUGUGAUGGCGCUGUGUGAUUUGUAGGUGCUCAAUAGAUGAAACAUAAUUUAUGCUGGAACUUGCUCUGGCUGCUUCAAUGUUCAAUGCUUGAUUUCCAUAUAAGAGAUAGCUGGUAGUUGGAUUUGUUUGCACUUUGCACACAUCUUGAUUUAGUUUGAGCAAGAGUGGUCCUUUAUGUCCGAAUGUUGACACUUGACACCUGGAAGCUCCAAUUCUUUUCACAUGUAUAGAUGAGCUAAAUAAUACCAGCAACAGUAAAACAAGGAGUUGACCAUUGGUGCUGAUGUUGAAAGGAAAGAAAAAGUGUGUGAGAGAGAAUUGGAUAGUGAUGGUAAAAGGUCCGUGAAAAAAAUCUGUAUCAGUAAUGGGAUUAUAGGAUACUGAGGUGGGAAUAAUUAAGGUGACAAUUAUAUUUGAGGUGGGUUUAGUGAGAUUAUAAUUCCACACAAUGAAAAAAAUUGUAACUGAACUUGUAUUUUCUUUUUUCGGUUUUCUUUCUCAAGUAAUAAUUUAAACAACUUGUACUAGGUAUAUCACCAUAUUGUUCUUGAUCAUUACUUGCUAGAAGAGUCUGGAGAGAUGCUGAUCGUGCAAACUAAUAUCUCCUUAUUUUACUGUUUCUCGAGGGAG